rnacentral:rRNA from 1 species
GACGAACGCUGGCGGCGUGCUUAACACAUGCAAGUCGAACGGAAAGGCCCUGCUUUUGUGGGGUGCUCGAGUGGCGAACGGGUGAGUAACACGUGAGUAACCUGCCCUUGACUUUGGGAUAACUUCAGGAAACUGGGGCUAAUACCGGAUAGGAGCUCCUGCUGCAUGGUGGGGGUUGGAAAGUUUCGGCGGUUGGGGAUGGACUCGCGGCUUAUCAGCUUGUUGGUGGGGUAGUGGCUUACCAAGGCUUUGACGGGUAGCCGGCCUGAGAGGGUGACCGGCCACAUUGGGACUGAGAUACGGCCCAGACUCCUACGGGAGGCAGCAGGUGGGAAUAUUGCACAAUGGGCGGAAGCCUGAUGCAGCAACGCCGCGUGCGGGAUGACGGCCUUCGGGUUGUAAACCGCUUUCGCCUGUGACGAAGCGUGAGUGACGGUAAUGGGUAAAGAAGCACCGGCUAACUACGUG